AGGACGAACGCUGGCGGCGUGCCUAACACAUGCAAGUCGCACGAGAAAGUGGAGCAAUCCAUGAGUAAAGUGGCGCACGGGUGAGUAACACGUGAAUUAUCUACCUCCGAGUGGGGAAUAACUGAGAGAAAUCUUAGCUAAUACCGCAUAACACUUACGAGUCAAAGCAGCAAUGCGCUUGGAGAGGAGUUCGCGGCCGAUUAGUUAGUUGGCGGGGUAAUGGCCCACCAAGACGAUGAUCGGUA
rnacentral:rRNA from 1 species